CGCAAGUGUUAUGUGUGUGCGUGUUCGCAUUCAAACCGGCCACUUCUGUCAGCGUGUGUGCGAACGGAGAUAGAAAAGCACAGAGCAGUGGCAGAAAGAUGUCAAAAAAGAGAAGCAGUGGCUUACUGGCAAUCAACUUCGCAACACGUUUGCUUUCAUGUAUGAAGGUGUCUCUGGUAAAACUCAGCCCAAGUGUGCCGUGCAGAUAACGAUGGACGGACCGACUGCAUCUCUACCUUGUGCUCUACUCACCUCUGUCGAGUCGCGGCUACUGCCACUCUCCCCUCCCUGAUCCCCACUUCUAGGAUGCAGAAGUGGAAUGUCGGUUUGUCGUUGAAGGUGGUAGUGGAGGGUGCGUGCUGACGGGUGGGGAGCGGAGGGAGUAAGGGCGUCCGUGCGAUCGUCUUCAUCUCCAGAGCACACGAGUCCGGGACACUUGACACCAUUUUAUUCUCUAGCUCGGAAAACAACCGAGUUGGGCGGCAGUUCCAUGGCAGCGUGGAGGCCCGUUGCAUGAAACGCGGCGAACGUCGUUUUUCUUUUUUCCUUUGCGUAUGUGUGUGUAUGCGCCUUCUUUGUUUGCUAUCCUUUUCGUUUUUCGCGCCUCUCACCCAUUCCUUUUUUUUUCCUGUUGACAGCGCUUCAGAAAUGCCCAAGAGAGCUCGUUGCUUGUGUGUGGGUGUGUGUGAGUGUAUGUGCCCCGCCCCCGCCCACCCCUCCCUCCUCCCUCACCGAUUGCACAACUCAUGCGCGCACACAGUAGUCUAUGAGCGCUGCAUUCCAGAAAGGGAAGUCGAUGGCUCUCAACAGGACGCCUAUAUGCACGAUCAUGUUGCCUUUGCGUUCUCCUUGUCUUUGAUCUCUCCAUCCAUCUACCCAUCCACCCACCCGCGCUUGUCUACGUCCUCUUCUCUGUCGGCCAUUUUUCGUUUCUGCGUAGGAUUCUUCCAUGAAGCUCCCUUUUCAUCUCUUCCCUUGGUAAGAAAGCAACAACCCCACAAAAAAAAAACGGCUCCCUCUUGUGUUGUUGGUGUCGGUGUUGUUGGUUGCCGCCUCGAGGCGGCACACGUUUUUUUUGUCUGUUUUCUUUGUUUUGUUUUGUCGUCACUGGUUGCCUCUGCAGGAGCACUCGAUAUGCACAUGUAUAUGCCGCUCCCUUUGACUCAACGCUCUCUUGUCGGUCCUCGCUGUCCCACUGUGCUUUUAUCCUCGCGUGUGUGUGGUUGUGUGUGUUCGAAUGUGGACACGAUCAUGCUGAUGCAAUGAACGAAGGAAAGACGCGAUUUGUGCACAGCAGUGAAAGAAAAGCGAGGGAUACAGGAACCUCCAUCCGUGGCCCAACUGGCCCUCUCACUAUCGUCACUUUCCAGCGUUUUCGUACGCAAUGAAAACGAAAGGAGGACGGGAGAGAGAUGGGAGAGUAGGCAGAGGAAGCUGGAUACGUGAGCGAGGAACCCUCUUGUUUGCCUGUGUGGAUCGGUGGGGGUUUAUGGAUGGCACGGCAUGUCAGCUGCUCAAGGUUGUCAUGCCUCAUCUUACCCCCCCCAUGCCUGGUCCAGCAAGUUGAAUUUCGCGUAAGUCACCUUUUCAUCGCUAGUGAUGCAGCACGUCCCUCGCUUCCUCCCUCGCACACCUCUGUCUCUCUCCCUUUCGUGCUGUGCCUAUUCCUUGGCACUUUUCCUGAUCCAUCACCACGGCGCGCACACAAACCAACCAACCCACUCGUUUUCUUUUGUUGUUGCGGAUGUAGCGUCGUCCUCUCGUAUUCAACUCUUCCAUUAAUCUCUCCUACUGCUUCAAUCUCACUGCUCUCCCUUGUGCGGUUACAAAAAAAAAAG
rnacentral:misc_RNA from 1 species